GGGUGGAUUGUUAAGAUGCUUUUGGACACACAGACACGCCCAGCCUGAGGCCUGUUGGUCUGGUAUAUAUCAUCACAAACAUGCAGUAACUUCCCUGUUAAAGACCUGCUACACACCUGCUGCUGCUGCUGCUGAGUUUAACUGCAGAGGAAAUGAAAGCUCAGAUUGUGUUCCUGCUCUUUGCUCUUGUGGUCGGGCUUCAAGCGAUGCCGACUCCCGUCCCUGAGAGCCAUACAGGUAAAGUUCUUGAAGACGAAGAGUUCUUAAAGCAAGUCCUGGGGGACCGUCGGACCGAAUCGGGUCAUGAUACAACAACAACAAGAAUAAGACGUCCAUCUCUGAGAGUGAAGUGAAACCACUUUAAAAACCUUCUUCUACAUUUAUUCAGCUUCAGGAUGUUGAAUAAAUAACAAUGAAAUAAAUGUCCUUGUGUUGAUUGUUUUUAUAUUUGCUUAAAUAAAGAGUGUGCAAAUAA